rnacentral:rRNA from 1 species
AUUGAACGCUGGCGGCAUGCUUUACACAUGCAAGUCGAACGGUAACAGGCCGCAAGGUGCUGACGAGUGGCGAACGGGUGAGUAAUGCAUCGGAACGUGCCCGGUCGUGGGGGAUAACGCAGCGAAAGCUGCGCUAAUACCGCAUACGAUCUAUGGAUGAAAGCGGGGGACCGUAAGGCCUCGCGCGAUUGGAGCGGCCGAUGUCAGAUUAGGUAGUUGGUGGGGUAAAGGCUCACCAAGCCAACGACCUGUAGCUGGUCUGAGAGGACGACCAGCCACACUGGGACUGAGACACGGCCCAGACUCCUACGGGAGGCAGCAGUGGGGAAUUUUGGACAAUGGGCGCAAGCCUGAUCCAGCAAUGCCGCGUGCAGGAAGAAGGCCUUCGGGUUGUAAACUGCUUUUGUACGGAACGAAACGGUCCUGGUUAAUACCCGGGGCUAAUGACGGUACCGUAAGAAUAAGCACCGGCUAACUACGUGCCAGCAGCCGCCGUAACAC